UACGUAGGUGGCAAGCGUUGUCCGGAUUUACUGGGCGUAAAGAGCGCGCAGGCGGUCGUUCAAGUCGCGUGUGAAAGCCCCCGGCUCAACUGGGGAGGGUCACGCGAUACUGAUCGACUCGAAGGCAGGAGAGGGUAGUGGAAUUCCCGGUGUAGUGGUGAAAUGCGUAGAUAUUGGGAAGAACACCGGUGGCGAAGGCGGCGCUCUGGACCGAGACUGACGCUGAGGCGCGAAAGCGUGGGGAGCAAACAGG
rnacentral:rRNA from 1 species